AUACGGAGGGUGCAAGCGUUAAUCGGAAUUACUGGGCGUAAAGCGCGCGUAGGCGGUUUAGUAAGUCGGAUGUGAAAGCCCUGGGCUCAACCUGGGAAUUGCAUUCGAUACUGCUGGACUAGAGUAUGGUAGAGGGAAGUGGAAUUUCCGGUGUAGCGGUGAAAUGCGUAGAUAUCGGAAGGAACACCAGUGGCGAAGGCGACUUCCUGGGCCAAUACUGACGCUGAGGUGCGAAAGCGUGGGGAGCAAACAGGAUUAGAAACCCCAGUAGUCC
rnacentral:rRNA from 1 species